rnacentral:rRNA from 1 species
UACGUAGGGUGCGAGCGUUGUCCGGAAUUAUUGGGCGUAAAGAGCUUGUAGGCGGUUUGUCGCGUCUGCCGUGAAAUUUCGAGGCUCAACCUCGAACUUGCGGUGGGCACGGGGCAGACUAGAGUGUGGUAGGGGAGAUUGGAAUUCCUGGUGUAGCGGUGGAAUGCGCAGAUAUCAGGAGGAACACCGAUGGCGAAGGCAGGUCUCUGGGCCACUACUGACGCUGAGAAGCGAAAGCAUGGGGAGCGAACAGG